UACAGAGGGUGCAAACGUUGUUCGGAAUUACUGGGCGUAAAGCGCGUGCAGGCGGCCUUGCAAGUCGGACGUGAAAUCCCACGGCUCAACCGUGGAAGUGCAUUCGAAACUGCGAGGCUGGAGUCCUGGAGAGGAAAGUGGAAUACUCGGUGUAGAGGUGAAAUUCGUAGAUAUCGAGUGGAACACCGGUGGCGAAGGCGGCUUUCUGGACCAACACUGACACUGAUGAGCGAAAGCCAGGGGAGCAAACGGG
rnacentral:rRNA from 1 species